rnacentral:rRNA from 1 species
AACAAACGCUGGCGGCGUGCCUAACACAUGCAAGUCGUACGAGAAAGGGUCCUUCGGGGCCUGGGUAAAGUGGCGAACGGGUGAGUAACGCGUGGAUAAUCUGCCCUUCAGUUGGGAAUAACUCAUCGAAAGGUGGGCUAAUACCGAAUAGUGCUGUGAGACCUCGGUUGAUCAGCCAAAGAGAGCCUAUGCAUGCAAGCCCACAAUGAAUGAUGAGUCCGCGUACCAUUAGCUAGGUGGUAGGGUAAUGGCCUACCAAGGCGACGAUGGUUAGCUGGUCUGAGAGGAUGAUCAGCCACACUGGAACUGAGACACGGUCCAGACUCCUACGGGAGGCAGCAGUGAGGAAUCUUGCGCAAUGGGGGCAACCCUGACGCAGCAACGCCGCGUGAGUGAGGAAGGUCUUCGGAUCGUAAAGCUCUGUCGGAUGGAAAGAACCGCAUAGGGGUAAACAGCCCCUGUGUCUGACGGUACCAUCAAAGGAAGCACCGGCUAACUCCGUGCCAGCAGCCGCAGUAACAC